UACAGAGGUGGCAAGCGUUGUUCGGAAUUACUGGGCGUAAAGGGCGCGUAGGCGGCCUCGUAAGUCCCGUGUGAAAGCCCCCGGCUCAACUGGGGAAUUGCACGGGAAACUGCGGGGCUUGAGUUCGGGAGAGGGAAGCGGAAUUCCAGGUGUAGCGGUGAAAUGCGUAGAUAUCUGGAGGAACACCGGUGGCGAAGGCGGCAUCCUGGACCAAUUCUGACGCUGAGGAGCGAAAGCCAGGGGAGCAAACGGG
rnacentral:rRNA from 1 species